UACGGAGGGCGCAAGCGUUGUUCGGAAUCAUUGGGCGUAAAGCGCGUGCAGGCGGCUUGGUAAGUCGGGUGUGAAAUCCCGGGGCUCAACCCCGGAACUGCACCCGAUACUGCCUCGCUCGAGUCCCGGAGAGGAUGGCGGAAUUUCCGGUGUAGAGGUGAAAUUCGUAGAUAUCGGAAGGAACACCAGCGGCGAAGGCGGCCAUCUGGACGGUGACUGACGCUCAGAAGCGAAAGCGUGGGGAGCAAACAGG
rnacentral:rRNA from 1 species